rfam:Xiphophorus maculatus strain JP 163 A Contig2481.3, whole genome shotgun sequence.
CUGUAUACACCCUGUAGAUCCGAAUUUGUGUAAACAUAACUAGUCACAAAUUCCCAUCUUGGGGAGCAUGCAGG